AAAGAAUUGAAAAGUUCUAAAAUGAUUUGUGUGUUUUCAAGACUUUUGGCUGGAUUUGGAUGAGAAAUAGAAGAGAUCAAUGAAAGGCCCUUUGUUGAGCAAGAGUGGUCAUAUCACAAUCAUUGGCGAUUCUUCAUCAACUGAUGAGCAAACACCACUUAAAGGUUGUUCAAUCGUGUCAUCCAUGUACACAAGAACGUUUUUGGAACUCGAUCGAGUUUGCUGUGAGUUUGGUCCAAAUUGUUGCAGCAAUAGUAGUUUUGACUCGAGCAAAAGGUGAACAUCCAGAGACAACAAGGAUCAUUGGUUAUGCUUGUGGUUGUAUUGGCGAUGUUGGCACCACCCAAAUUUUAUCUCAGAGAUAAGGUCCUGGUUGUCUAAGAAGGAAAAGAGUAAUUUAUGGAAAUUUUCUGUUAAGUGUGAAGUUUAUAUGUUGUAAUCUGUAAACUUUGAGUGUUUCAAAAAAAAAAAAAAAAAAAAAAAUCUGUAAACUUUGAAUUUUUAGUUGAAA